GGGUCGCAUCAAGAGCGCGGUCAUCGACCGUCGCCAACCUCGCCGGGUAACCGGAAAAGGUGGCAGGGCACCCAGCCCGAUGCGGCUCGCGAAAGCGAGCAAGGAGGACGCGAUGA
rnacentral:ncRNA from 29 species